UUGCCUGCAGCCAAAGGAAAUUCUUCCUGCACAACCCCCUCCCCACCUCCCCACCCCUCACUUAAGUCGGAAUGAGUCGCCUCUAGUUUCGUUUGCGCCAUUUCAGGAUGUGCGAUACACGUGUAUGCGCUGGAUCUUAUAUGAGAUUUGAGGACCGCACUGCCAUUGCCGUGACAUAUCUCCGUUUUCACUGUGAGCAAAGCCAGGUGAACUAUGCGAAUUCCAGCAACAUGCAAAUAUCACGGGAUACUUUACAGGGAACAGAGAAGGGGAGAGACCACAAGACGAACAAGCGAUGCUGAACCGUUCAAGAGUGACCGUUGACCCGACAGCACAGAGCCUAGGAGGGAUCAGUGUGGCACCAUCAAAUGCCCCCCCUUCCACACACACACACACACACACACACACAGACACACACAGUGUGCUGAAUCCGAUGUCCAUAUCUACCAGAGGCUCCAUUGUCAUAAGCAUUUGAUGACAUGAUCUGAGUGAAUAUUUUCCGAGACGAGAACACUUAACAACGCUAGUGUAGCGUCGCCCAGAGGAAAUCUCCUUUUACUUCUGUUUCUUAUAAUAGCAACAAUAAGGGGGAAAUUAUUAUUGAAACAUAUUAAAAGGUUAUUCUAGUUAUUAUGACCUGUAGAGUUAAAAAAAAAAAAAAAAAAAAAGAUAUAUUACAUUCUCACGCUGAACGCUCUCUAACAAGAUGAUCUUUGGGAAAAGAAGAAGCUCUUGGGAAACAGACCCAAUUUAUAGACACAAUCGGUGCCAUAGACUACAUUGCUUAGCCUAUAUAGGCUACGAUUAAUGCAAAACACACCGGUUGUUGUUGAAUAAGUUGUUCAUUUUGCCUAUCAAUUCUAGCAUAUCAUCCUAAGAUCUAGGCUAUGUGAAAACAACAAGCUAAUAACCAGUUACAGCCGUCUCAUCAUGAUUUUGUUUGUUUGUUUGUUUGUUUUGUUUUACAUUUAAAUCGGUUGCAGUGAAUACUUUAAAAUAACCAAAUAAUUAGCAAAUGGAAUAUUUUGAUUUAGUUUUUUUUCUGAUUUUUAGGACUAUGGGGUUAAUUUCAAAGUUAAUUUCAUAACUAGCUUCAUAAACCAGAGAAUACAGUCACAGAGUAGCCUAGUUGAUUGUGUAAAUGUAUAAGUUAAAAAAAUAAUAAAAAAUUCCUUUUGUGCGCUACAACA